rnacentral:rRNA from 1 species
AUUGAACGCUGGCGGCAGGCCUAACACAUGCAAGUCGAGCGAGCGGCGGACGGGUGAGUAAUGUAUGGGGAACUGCCCGAUAGAGGGGGAUAACUACUGGAAACGGUAGCUAAUACCGCAUACUAUCAGAUGAACCCAUAUGGGAUUAGCUAGUUGGUGGGGUAACGGCUCACCUAGGCGACGAUCGCUAGCUGGUCUGAGAGGAUGACCAGCCACACUGGAACUGAGACACGGCCCAGACUCCUACGGGAGGCAACAGUGGGGAAUAUUGCACAAUGGGCGCAAGCCUGAUGCAGCCAUGCCGCGUGUAUGAAGAAGGCCUUAGGGUUGUAAAGUACUUUCAGCGGGGAGGCGUUACCCGCAGAAGAAGCACCGGCUAACUCCGUGCCAGCAGCCGCGGUAAUAC